GUUAAGCGACUAAGCGUACACGGUGGAUGCCCUGGCAGUCAGAGGCGAUGAAGGACGUGCUAAUCUGCGAUAAGCGUCGGUAAGGUGAUAUGAACCGUUAUAACCGGCGAUUUCCGAAUGGGGAAACCCAGUGUGAUUCGUCACACUAUCAUUAACUGAAUCCAUAGGUUAAUGAGGCGAACCGGGGGAACUGAAACAUCUAAGUACCCCGAGGAAAAGAAAUCAACCGAGAUUCCCCCAGUAGCGGCGAGCGAACGGGGAGGAGCCCAGAGCCUGAAUCAGUGUGUGUGUUAGUGGAAGCGUCUGGAAAGGCGCGCGAUACAGGGUGACAGCCCCGUACACAAAAAUGCACAUGCUGUGAGCUCGAUGAGUAGGGCGGGACACGUGGUAUCCUGUCUGAAUAUGGGGGGACCAUCCUCCAAGGCUAAAUACUCCUGACUGACCGAUAGUGAACCAGUACCGUGAGGGAAAGGCGAAAAGAACCCCGGCGAGGGGAGUGAAAAAGAACCUGAAACCGUGUACGUACAAGCAGUGGGAGCCUCUUUAUGGGGUGACUGCGUACCUUUUGUAUAAUGGGUCAGCGACUUAUAUUCUGUAGCAAGGUUAACCGAAUAGGGGAGCCGAAGGGAAACCGAGUCUUAACUGGGCGUUAAGUUGCAGGGUAUAGACCCGAAACCCGGUGAUCUAGCCAUGGGCAGGUUGAAGGUUGGGUAACACUAACUGGAGGACCGAACCGACUAAUGUUGAAAAAUUAGCGGAUGACUUGUGGCUGGGGGUGAAAGGCCAAUCAAACCGGGAGAUAGCUGGUUCUCCCCGAAAGCUAUUUAGGUAGCGCCUCGUGAAUUCAUCUCCGGGGGUAGAGCACUGUUUCGGCAAGGGGGUCAUCCCGACUUACCAACCCGAUGCAAACUGCGAAUACCGGAGAAUGUUAUCACGGGAGACACACGGCGGGUGCUAACGUCCGUCGUGAAGAGGGAAACAACCCAGACCGCCAGCUAAGGUCCCAAAGUCAUGGUUAAGUGGGAAACGAUGUGGGAAGGCCCAGACAGCCAGGAUGUUGGCUUAGAAGCAGCCAUCAUUUAAAGAAAGCGUAAUAGCUCACUGGUCGAGUCGGCCUGCGCGGAAGAUGUAACGGGGCUAAACCAUGCACCGAAGCUGCGGCAGCGACGCUUAUGCGUUGUUGGGUAGGGGAGCGUUCUGUAAGCCUGUGAAGGUGUGCUGUGAGG
rnacentral:rRNA from 1 species